rnacentral:lncRNA from 1 species
UUGUGUACAAAAGAACCUUCCCCCUUAUAAAAAAUAAAAAAAAAGAGAGAAAAUAAAAGAUAAUCAAUGAGAAGGUGGGAAGGGAAAUGAGAAAGAGUUAUAGCUAAGUGUUGUAAAAAAUGAAUAAAAGUCCCUAGUUGGUUGAGUCAAAAGAAAAAAGAGAGUUGUUCAUUGGGUGAGUGAUGUGAGUGAGUGCUAUUUUGGUUUUAGGAUGGGGAUGAAAAGGGAAGAGCUUGUAAUCACUUAGGAAAAGGGUAGAACGAUGAGAAUGGAUCUAUGUAUGCAUAAAUUGCUUCUAGUCUUAGAUAAAUUUUGCAUAAUGAUCAAACUCCUUGUUCUUGAGUGAUAACCACUUUGAAAUGAUGCAUUUUAGACCAUUUGCUUACCUAGCCAAAUGAUUGAGAUCAUGUGCCCAUUUGUGAGAAUUCACCUUGUGUGUGUGUGUGAAUCAAUAUGAGGGUUGGUUGAAGGAACUUGUUGGUUGAUGAGUAUUGCAACUUGUGUAAAGGCAUAAGAGUAUUGAUAGGCCUAGAGAAGCUAGAGUAUAAUAAGAGAGUUUGCUCAUGCUAUUUGCUAUAUUUCUUUAGGAUGUUAAGUUGAGUGCUAGGAAGUGUUUCUUUUGGUUAUGAGUUCCCAUUUUCAAACCUCUCUCCCUUUGGCUCUUGAAAGUUUACUUGUGGACAAGUAAAUGACUAGUGUGGGGGAGUUGAUAUC